rnacentral:lncRNA from 1 species
UUAGAACCAGUGUACAAGCCAAGCAUAGACACAAAACAUAAAGUUCACCUAAUCUAAAAAUUACAAGUACAAAAGAAAAAGAAAAACAUGGGUUGCCUCCCAAUAGCGCUUGUUUAACGUCACGAGCCUGACCCAAACCUAUUUAACACUCAUUAGUAAGUGCCUACCUUUCCAACACCCUUCAGUAGGUGUGCUAUUAAGUCCC